UUAAGCGACUAAGCGUACACGGUGGAUGCCCUGGCAGUCAGAGGCGAUGAAGGACGUGCUAAUCUGCGAUAAGCGUCGGUAAGGUGAUAUGAACCGUUAUAACCGGCGAUUUCCGAAUGGGGAAACCCAGUGUGAUUCGUCACACUAUCAUUAACUGAAUCCAUAGGUUAAUGAGGCGAACCGGGGGAACUGAAACAUCUAAGUACCCCGAGGAAAAGAAAUCAACCGAGAUUCCCCCAGUAGCGGCGAGCGAACGGGGAGCAGCCCAGAGCCUGAAUCAGUGUGUGUGUUAGUGGAAGCGUCUGGAAAGGCGCGCGAUACAGGGUGACAGCCCCGUACACAAAAAUGCACAUGCUGUGAGCUCGAUGAGUAGGGCGGGACACGUGGUAUCCUGUCUGAAUAUGGGGGGACCAUCCUCCAAGGCUAAAUACUCCUGACUGACCGAUAGUGAACCAGUACCGUGAGGGAAAGGCGAAAAGAACCCCGGCGAGGGGAGUGAAAAAGAACCUGAAACCGUGUACGUACAAGCAGUGGGAGCCUCUUUAUGGGGUGACUGCGUACCUUUUGUAUAAUGGGUCAGCGACUUAUAUUCUGUAGCAAGGUUAACCGAAUAGGGGAGCCGAAGGGAAACCGAGUCUUAACUGGGCGUUAAGUUGCAGGGUAUAGACCCGAAACCCGGUGAUCUAGCCAUGGGCAGGUUGAAGGUUGGGUAACACUAACUGGAGGACCGAACCGACUAAUGUUGAAAAAUUAGCGGAUGACUUGUGGCUGGGGGUGAAAGGCCAAUCAAACCGGGAGAUAGCUGGUUCUCCCCGAAAGCUAUUUAGGUAGCGCCUCGUGAACUCAUCUCCGGGGGUAGAGCACUGUUUCGGCAAGGGGGUCAUCCCGACUUACCAACCCGAUGCAAACUGCGAAUACCGGAGAAUGUUAUCACGGGAGACACACGGCGGGUGCUAACGUCCGUCGUGAAGAGGGAAACAACCCAGACCGCCAGCUAAGGUCCCAAAGUCAUGGUUAAGUGGGAAACGAUGUGGGAAGGCCCAGACAGCCAGGAUGUUGGCUUAGAAGCAGCCAUCAUUUAAAGAAAGCGUAAUAGCUCACUGGUCGAGUCGGCCUGCGCGGAAGAUGUAACGGGGCUAAACCAUGCACCGAAGCUGCGGCAGCGACGCUUAUGCGUUGUUGGGUAGGGGAGCGUUCUGUAAGCCUGUGAAGGUGUGCUGUGAGGCAUGCUGGAGGUAUCAGAAGUGCGAAUGCUGACAUAAGUAACGAUAAAGCGGGUGAAAAGCCCGCUCGCCGGAAGACCAAGGGUUCCUGUCCAACGUUAAUCGGGGCAGGGUGAGUCGACCCCUAAGGCGAGGCCGAAAGGCGUAGUCGAUGGGAAACAGGUUAAUAUUCCUGUACUUGGUGUUACUGCGAAGGGGGGACGGAGAAGGCUAUGUUGGCCGGGCGACGGUUGUCCCGGUUUAAGCGUGUAGGCUGGUUUUCCAGGCAAAUCCGGAAAAUCAAGGCUGAGGCGUGAUGACGAGGCACUACGGUGCUGAAGCAACAAAUGCCCUGCUUCCAGGAAAAGCCUCUAAGCAUCAGGUAACAUCAAAUCGUACCCCAAACCGACACAGGUGGUCAGGUAGAGAAUACCAAGGCGCUUGAGAGAACUCGGGUGAAGGAACUAGGCAAAAUGGUGCCGUAACUUCGGGAGAAGGCACGCUGAUAUGUAGGUGAAGUCCCUCGCGGAUGGAGCUGAAAUCAGUCGAAGAUACCAGCUGGCUGCAACUGUUUAUUAAAAACACAGCACUGUGCAAACACGAAAGUGGACGUAUACGGUGUGACGCCUGCCCGGUGCCGGAAGGUUAAUUGAUGGGGUCAGCGCAAGCGAAGCUCUUGAUCGAAGCCCCGGUAAACGGCGGCCGUAACUAUAACGGUCCUAAGGUAGCGAAAUUCCUUGUCGGGUAAGUUCCGACCUGCACGAAUGGCGUAAUGAUGGCCAGGCUGUCUCCACCCGAGACUCAGUGAAAUUGAACUCGCUGUGAAGAUGCAGUGUACCCGCGGCAAGACGGAAAGACCCCGUGAACCUUUACUAUAGCUUGACACUGAACAUUGAGCCUUGAUGUGUAGGAUAGGUGGGAGGCUUAGAAGUGUGGACGCCAGUCUGCAUGGAGCCGACCUUGAAAUACCACCCUUUAAUGUUUGAUGUUCUAACGUUGACCCGUAAUCCGGGUUGCGGACAGUGUCUGGUGGGUAGUUUGACUGGGGCGGUCUCCUCCUAAAGAGUAACGGAGGAGCACGAAGGUUGGCUAAUCCUGGUCGGACAUCAGGAGGUUAGUGCAAUGGCAUAAGCCAGCUUGACUGCGAGCGUGACGGCGCGAGCAGGUGCGAAAGCAGGUCAUAGUGAUCCGGUGGUUCUGAAUGGAAGGGCCAUCGCUCAACGGAUAAAAGGUACUCCGGGGAUAACAGGCUGAUACCGCCCAAGAGUUCAUAUCGACGGCGGUGUUUGGCACCUCGAUGUCGGCUCAUCACAUCCUGGGGCUGAAGUAGGUCCCAAGGGUAUGGCUGUUCGCCAUUUAAAGUGGUACGCGAGCUGGGUUUAGAACGUCGUGAGACAGUUCGGUCCCUAUCUGCCGUGGGCGCUGGAGAACUGAGGGGGGCUGCUCCUAGUACGAGAGGACCGGAGUGGACGCAUCACUGGUGUUCGGGUUGUCAUGCCAAUGGCACUGCCCGGUAGCUAAAUGCGGAAGAGAUAAGUGCUGAAAGCAUCUAAGCACGAAACUUGCCCCGAGAUGAGUUCUCCCUGACUCCUUGAGAGUCCUGAAGGAACGUUGAAGACGACGACGUUGAUAGGCCGGGUGUGUAAGCGCAGCGAUGCGUUGAGCUAACCGGUACUAAUGAACCGUGAGGCUUAACCUU
rnacentral:rRNA from 2 species